UACGUAGGGCGCAAGCGUUAUCCGGAAUUAUUGGGCGUAAAGAGCUCGUAGGCGGUUUGUCGCGUCUGCCGUGAAAGUCCGGGGGCUCAACUCCGGAUCUGCGGUGGGUACGGGCAGACUAGAGUGAUGUAGGGGGAGACUGGAAUUCCUGGUGUAGCGGUGGAAUGCGCAGAUAUCAGGAGGAACACCGGUGGCGAAGGCGGGUCUCUGGGCAGUAACUGACGCUGAGGAGCGAAAGCGUGGGGAGCGAACAGG
rnacentral:rRNA from 1 species